CUGAGUCUCAACAGGAACUCCCACGGGUGAACUCCUGAUUUACCCUUUCUGCUCUCCUCCCUCUCCUGUCUCCCUGCACUCCUCUGCAGCUGGGAGACGGGCAGGCAGCCGUGUGUACUCCUGGGCAGCACCUGGACUCUCAGACCAGGAGCUGGCAUUCAGCGACCUGGCUGAGGCACAAUGUGGAAAUGGAAAGAUAAAAACCCGAGAUGUGUGAUGAGGGCUGUAGUUUGGAAUAAAUGGGUUCAGGCCCUCUGCCCAGUCAGCCUAGCCCUCUGGCGGCUGCUGCAUUUAAUGGACAACUCCAUUAGCAUUUCCUUGGAUAGGUGGGAGGAGAGUGAGAGAGAAAAGGGCGGGUGCUGAGAUAGGGAAGGAGGGCAAGGAUGUGGGGAGAUGAAAGAGAGGUGAGUGUGUGUGUGUGUGUGUUGGGAGAAACUAAAAAAACUUGGCGCUUUCCUCCAUGACCCCUGGGGGACCUUUGUGUGGCUCCCUUGGUCCAUGUGCUCUGUCAGGCUUUGACAGCUGAGGUGGACCUCGGGAGGGUAGCGGUUUGGAGAGGGUAGAAUGAGGGCUCAACCUCUCUCCUGCUCAUCCCCACAGGAUAAGGAGAAUGAGAAGGCAUAUAUCCUUUCCCCCUUGUAAUGAAGAAAUUGUAGGUCCUGGAAUUCAGAAGGUGAAAACAUGGGGGAUUUGGGGUGCUUCUGAUCCUGUGGUAAUGCUUGUCGAUGAGGACAGGGGAAAGGAGAAGUGAAGUGAGUCCCAGGAUUCAGAAGCUGCGUCAUGAGUGAGAAGAAACUGGUUCCCACUGCAGGAGGAGAGGAGGCACAGGUCUUAAAAGGCAAACAAAGGCGGCAGACACCCAUCGUCUGCCUGAGCACGCUUACCUUCAGGCUGUCUCUAGAGGCUGGAGAUGCCUGUUACUGUGGCUAAUGAAUGAGACUCAAAACCUCUCUGAUAAUUACGGUGCCCGAGACUUUCUGAAUCCCUGGCAUGUGGGGACCAUGAGAGAUAGUAAUGAGAAACCACAUUUCCACUGAGGGGUUUUCGAUCUUAGUAUCUUCCCCUUCUAGCCUUUUAGCUGCUGUCAGACCACAUCAGGGCAGCAUAUUGAACCCAGCCAUAUCACAGCUGCUGUGGAUCUCCCCAGAGUGUGUGACACAAGUGGGAAGAGCAGCUCUGAUCCAAGACUUCACUCCUGGCUUCCCUCGGUGCCCUUGACAGCUCACUGCCUCUCGAAAGUCACUCUCAGGGGUUCCCUGGUUGCCUAGCAGUUAAAGAUCUGGUGUUGUCACUGCUGUGGCACCGGUUCAAUCCCUGACCUGGGAAUUUCUGCAAGCUACAUGCAUGGCCGAAAAAAAGUCACAUCCAGAAGCAAAGCUUCUACCCACAAAUCCACAGAAUUGAGCAUGACCUGCUCAGAGACAUGUUCUCAGUCAGACUAAGAUGGUGAUUCUUGGAGUUCCCCUUGUGGCUCAUCAAGUUAUGAACCCAACUAGUAUCCAUGAAGAUGCGGGUUCAAUCCCUGGCCUUGCUGUGGGUUAAGAAUCCAGCAUUGCCAUGAGCUGUAGUGGAGGUCACAGAUGGAUCUGGCGUUGCUGUGUCUGUGGUGUAGACAAGCAGCUGUAGCUCCGAUUUGACCCCUAGCCUUGGAACCUCCAUAGGCUAUGGGUGUGCCCCCCCCCCAAGCAAGGAAAAAAAAGACUGUGAUUCUUGAGUCUGUGGGCCUGACCCUGAGUGCUAGGUUGAGGUGGAGGCCAGCCGGAAGGGUAUGAUGAACGGGCCCCUGACUUAGAGGUCAAAAGUGCUGGGUUUCUGGUCCCGUUUCUGCCCUAUGUAGCUGUAUGACCUUGAGCUAUUACUUGAGUUCUUCAAGCUUUAGUUUUUCAUCUGUAAAAUGGGAAUAAGAAUAUCUUCCUCAGAGAGCUAUUGUCCAAAUCCGGUAAUAUACCAAAAGCACUUUGUAAACGUUCUUUUGUGGCGCAGUGGGUUAAGGAUCUGGCAUUGUCACUGCAGCAGCUGCUGGAUCACUGCCGUGGUGUAGGUUCAGUCCCUGGCCCAGGAACUUCCACAUGCCAUGGGUGCGGCCAAAAAUAACCCCCCCAAAAAACAAAUAGCACUUUGUGAACUGCCGUCCUAGUGGGAAGGAGUUAUUUGCCAUUCCAUCACACUGUCUUCCAAAUCCCACAGCUGUGUGAGAGCCCUCGGCUUGAAGACAAGCACCUGGGAAGGUAUGUCUGUGGGGAGUGCCAGGCGGUGUGGAGGGAGAGUGAAAGACGUGGUGAAGGGGUGGCCCCUGUCAUCACGGAGGAUUUGACACGAGCUCUUCCACAGUUAAGAGUCUGUACACACUUACUGAGUUGAUAGCAGUGGCAUAAUAAGAAAUACAUAUUUGACCUUUGUCUCCAGUUUCUGACAAAGAGCUAAAACCCUUAAAAUUUUCAGGGCGAUAGAAACCUGUUUUGUUCUCAUGAAGUUACCCUUGGCAGGAUUCUAGGUAGCUUCAGGGUAGGGGCUGGUCACCAGAAAGAUUAAGCUUUGACUGGAAGCCUAGAGAUUGCUUGCUUGCUUUUUUCUUUCCUUUUCAGGGCCAUACCCUCGGCAUGUGGCCAUUCCCAGGCUAGGGGUCAAAUCGGAGUUACAGCUGCCAGCCUACACCACAGCCACAGCCACAGCCACUCAGGAUCCAAGCCGUGUCUGUGACCUACACCACAACUCACAGCAAUGCCAGAUCCCCGACCCACUGAGCAAGGCCAGGGAUCGAACCACAUCCUCAGGGAUACUAGUGGGAUUUGUUUCUGCUGCGCCAAAACGGCAACUCCUAGAAGCCUAGAACUUUCACCUCACUCACCCUACCCUCUGAGGAGGGGAGAGGGGCUGGAGAUUGAGUAAAUAGUCUAUUAUGCCUAUGUGAUGAAACCUCCAUAAAAGCCCCCAAAUGACAAAGUUCCAAGAGCUUUCAGUUUUCUUUCGUCUUUUUUUUUUUUUUUUUUGCUAUUUCUUUGGGCCGCUUCUGCAGCAUAUGGAGGUUCCCAGGCUAGGGGUCGAAUCGGAGCUGUAGCCGCUGGCCUAUGCCAGAGCCACAGCAACACGGGAUCCGAGCCGCGUCUGCAACCUACACCACAGCUCACGGCAACGCCGGAUCGUUAACCCACUGAGCAAGGGCAGGGACCGAACCCGCAGCCUCAUGGUUCCUAGUCGGACUCGUUAACCACUGUGCCACGACGGGAACUCCAUCUUUUCAGCUUUCACUCCUGGCAUUAAUCAUUUGGGCCUAUGUUCCAGUCCUAAUUCCCCAAAGAGAAUCUGACUCUUUGCUUUUUCAUACCAGGCCUCCCCAGCUUGUCUCACUUCAGAGCUAUGGUUGAAGGGCCUGGGCCCUCAUCAUAGGACACUUGGCUGCAUAAGAUAAAAAGAGUCGCUCACAUGUAUUGAGGGAUUACUAUGUACUAGGCACAGUGUUAAGUGCUCUUCAGGGCUUAUCUUGCUAAUAUAAUCCUCCAAACAACCCCACUGCAGUCAGUUCUAAUAUUUUCCUCAUUGUGUAGAUAAGGAAACUGAAGUGCAGAGAGCCUGGAUAACUAUUAAGUGGUAGAGCUCGGGUUUGAACCCAGCAGGCUGGCUGUAGGGCCAGAGCUUAUAAGCAUCUGCUAUACUGCUUUUGAGGUGAGGCUGUGGGUGAAGUUACACACCUUUAAGCAAGGGUGGUAGGCAUGCAGGCAAGGUGCUCUCCAUGUGUAGUCCAGAUACCCUACAGGAGGCCUGGCAAACAAGUUUGAUUCCAGAAUCUUCCAGCUGACUUGUGAGUACUACUUUAGGAGCCGUGGAUGGGUGCGGUGUGAAAAAGGCUCCAGUGCCAUGUAACAUUGAUAAACAUUGUGUGUGUGUGUGUGUGUGUGUGUGUGUGUGUGUGUGUGUGAGAGAGAGAGAGAGAGAGAGAGAGAGGGAGAGAGAGAGGGAGAGGGAGAGAGAGAUGGCCUCCUUGAGAUAUUGUAGUAAAGAAAUUGCUUUGGAGUUCCUGUUGUGGCGCAGCGGAAACGAAUCCGACUAGGAACCAUGAGGUUGCGGGUUUGGUCCCUGGCCUCACUCAGUGGGGUUAAGGAUCUGGCGUUGCUGUGAGCUGUGGCGUGGGUCACAGACGCAGCUCGGAUCCCGAGUGGCUCUGGCUGUGGUGUAGGCCGGCAGCUACAGCUCUGAUUCGAUGCCUAGUCUGGGAACCUCCAUAUGCCACGGGUGCGGCCCUAAAAAAGACAAAAGACAAAAAAAAAAAAAAAAAAAAAAAAAAAAAAAGAAAAAAGAAAAGAAAUCGCUUUGCCUUUGGUUGAGUCUGGAGUUUCCCAAAGUGAUCUGAGCAGAUAACUCAUUGAUUUUUCUUUGCCAGAUGACUGCAAAUAUGCAGUGGAGCCCUGCUGUGCUGUUCUAGGAUUACCGGUUUAGGAAAUACUCUCCUAGACUUACUUUCCACCCCCACCACUGAGCCCCUCGAAGUAACAGCUGCACUAAGCCUGGCAGCUAAGAUUGCUGCCGAGAGCCGAGUGCUCAGUGGCCGGUCAGCUCAGAUGGCCCCCACAGGAUGCUGAUUAACCAGGGUCAGGCAGAGGCUGACGUUUCCUAGGCUGCAUGAAGAAGCCAUCCAACAGAGUUGGGUGGUUUAUUUCUUGUUUUCAUUUCCCCUUGUCACGGCCCUCGUCUGGACCCUUUGCAUGUCAAGUCUGGACUGUCAAAACAGCCUCCUGACUAGUCUCCCUGCCAGCUGGCUCUCCCCUCCAAUCCAUCCUGCACACCUGACCAGAUCUGUUUUCCUAAAAUGCUGCUGCGAGCUUGCCACUCUCCUGUCCCAAAUAUUAAUUCAGCUUUCAAGACGGUCCUGGAUGGCCCCAGCUUACCUGCUCUGUUUCCUCCUCACACCCUACAUUCUAGAUGAAGCCGAAUCAUUCGUGCCCCCUUGUGCCCUGCGCGUGCUGCUUCCUCCAGCCCGCGCUUCAGCAGCUCCAUCCCACUUCCCUGUUUUCUCAUGUCAGAGUCGUGUGUUCUCCUUUGUUCACCUAUCCAUCCAAUAAGGAUUUAUUUUGCGCCUUCUGUUUGCCAGGUCCUGUGCUAGAGAAGACACAGUCCUUAACUUCAAGGAGGUAAUAAAAACAGAUAAACACACACAGGGUGUGUGUGCAGUACGACAGAGUGAUGCUCAGGCUUCCAUGGGCAAGGACACAUAUCCCUGCCUGAGGCAC
rnacentral:lncRNA from 1 species